rnacentral:rRNA from 1 species
UAGUCCACGCCGUAAACGAUGGACACUAGUUGUUGGAAUUAUUCAGUGACUAAGCGAAAGUGAUAAGUGUCCCACCUGGGGAGUACGAUCGCAAGAUUGAAACUCAAAGGAAUUGACGGGGCCCGCACAAGCGGUGGAGCAUGUGGUUUAAUUCGAUGAUACGCGAGGAACCUUACCAGGGCUUAAAUGUAAGUUGCAUGAUUUAGAGAUAGAUCUUUCUUCGGACUACUUACAAGGUGCUGCAUGGUUGUCGUCAGCUCGUGCCGUGAGGUGUCAGGUUAAGUCCUAUAACGAGCGCAACCCCUACCGUUAGUUGCCAGCAUGUUAUGAUGGGGACUCUAGCGGGACUGCCGGUGCAAACCGAGAGGGAAGGUGGGGAUGACGUCAAAUCAUCACGGGCCCCUUACGUCCUGGGGCUACACACGUGCUACAAUGGUAACGACAGAGGGGCAGCCACCCCGCGAGGGGGGAGCGGAAUCCUAAACGGUUAUCUCAGUUCGGGAUCGGGAGUCUGCAACUC